GAAAUGUGUGGUUCAACUUGCUGAAUGUUGUGCUGCUUUCCAUAAUGUUGUACAGUAAACAUUGGUCCUCUCUACAGGUGCCUGUGAUGAAUGACACAUCGAUCAACCCAUAGUCUUCAGACAUUGCCGUGUGAAGCCAAUGAAAGAUAUCUGCUGGUAACCAAAUGAUGAUCUUAUGAAAAGACCGCGGGGACUAUGAGCUAUCCUGGGGUUCCACGUGCCAGAGACAUGAAGAAAGCAGAGCGGUCCCAGAGAAAAGUGACCGUGGAAGAGGAGCUUCCGCCAGAAGCGAGGGAAUAGGGAAUGUGGACAAGUGUCUCCAAAACAUCUCCUCCACAAGGAUCCCCCGACCCCCAGCCUCGGCCACAGGCAUUGCUUUGCUCCCUGAACCCAGUGUAAAGGGCUAAUGUUAUUAUUAGUCUGUUCCUUCUGUGAUCUUCCGCCAGGCCAGAGCUACCCAAGCGAACAAUAGUCAUUAUCAUCUCUGACAAUCUGAGAAGAUGAACUGCAAGGGAAAAAUUGAAAAAUUGCACGUGUGAGUUAUAUUAUGUGUCUUAAUUUUAAAGCUAAGAUGAAACCACAGUGCACUGUAGCAUACUGUUAUUUAUCAGAGGCAAUUAUUAGGAAUGCCAGUUUGCAUAGUACAUAUUUGUGCCCAUAAAAACGCAGUACGUACUGACCCGUCUGGUCUCUGAAUUCCAGAUUGCU
rnacentral:lncRNA from 1 species